GGGAACCUUUAAACUUCAAACGUAAAAUUGGGACAUAUGUACCGCGUUUCCCUUGUGGGAUGUGUUAUUGACACUGAAUAGGUUUGCUGCUGCCCAUGUCAAGGAAUCCAACUGAGUCUUGUUGUGUCGCAGGCUCCUGUCCAACAGUCCAAUGAUGAUGUCUGUGCUGUUGUAUUUUGCAGCGGGGCUGGUGUUUUGCACUAAAAACCCAGCUUGGGCUCUUGAAAUCAUCUCCACCAAGGAGGACUAUUAUGCAGUCAAAGAAUCAAACGUCACGCUUUCCUGCAAAUUCACACAUGACAUCGAUGACAUCUCAAACAGAAUUAUAAUUAGGUGGUAUUUUAAGUCUCCAGAAGAAAAGCAGACAGAGAUUUUAAUGUAUCAUGGAGGCCAACUUGAUAUUGACCCAAACUACAGCAGGGUUCACUUCACAACUCCUGAACCCGGUCAUGGAGAUGCUUCCAUAGAGAUUAGUGACCUGCGUCUGUCAGAUGAGGGGAUCUACCAGUGCAGCCUAGAGUGCCAGCUGAAUGUACAUUCUGGAAUCACCGUAAUCAAAGACAGGUACAUGAACCUGAAAGUCAUCUAGAAGCUGAGUGCACCGGUUUGUGCCAUGGAAGGCGAUCCUGUGUGAGGCAAUGAUGUGACGCUCCAAUGCCAAUCCUCACACCCCC